rnacentral:lncRNA from 1 species
AUGACCUGCCCCCUGGGAGCAGCGCUCAUGCAUGGAGCGGUGUGUGCACCCGCGGAGGGAAUCCCCACACGGAGGGGCCCUUGGGUCCCGGCCCCCGGACGGCAGGAGGCACCUGCCCCGCGCCCCUCCCUUCCUCCGUGGGUCCCCGGAUGCGGCCACGACGUCCGCCACCCGGCAGUGAGGUGGCAUCCGAGGCGACAAGGGUCUUUACGCGCCACUCUGCGAGGCCUCGGCCGCCGCCUCCAGGGGGGGCUCUGCGGGGAAGGACGGCCUGGCUGGAGGGCGUCUCAGCUCAGGCCCCCACUCACACGCCAGCCCUCGAGGCUGCCCCGGGGACCCCAGCCGCCCGGCCCGCCUCUCUGGGACCCGGGAGCCGCAUUUGGGGACGCCGGGCCAUCUCCCACCCCAGGUCUACAGAGUCCCUCAGGCCGCGUCACACUUCUCCAACUUCAGAGGCCAGACCCGACGCAAAACCAGGCCCCACGCAGGGUCCCAUCAGCAUGUCGGCUUCCCCCUCGGGGCCUGAUGGUAGGAGCCCUGCUGGCGCUGGAGCGAGGGUCCCCGGCAGGCGCCGUCAGGCAGCGGACACGGCCCGGCUCAGGCAGAGCAGACCUCCGGCCGCCCGUGCACAGGGCCCCGAGCUCUGUGCCACCGGGCCCCACUCAGGACAGUCGUGGCCCAGGGAGAUCCAGCCCGGAGCAGGCCCAUGACCUGACCAGACGGGUUCCUGGGCGCUCGGUCGGCGAUGGGACUCCCGAGGCUCCAGCACGCGUCCCCCUCACAUGGCUGGACCUCCAUCCAGAGGACGCCUCGCGUGUGCACAGGACCCUGAGGCUGAAGACGGCCACGCCAGGAGCCUGGGUGACCCUCGUGUCCUCAGGCAGCCCCCCCGCCCGCUGGGUCAUGGCCAGGACAUGGCCAGGAGCCCACGCAUCCACCCCUCUGGGUUCUCAGGCGGACCUGACAGGACCACUCGCCACCACGCACGUCCCAGAGCCCACGUCCGAUGGCAUCCGGCUCCGUGGGCCACAGCAGCCAUCCUCAGCGGGGAGUCACGACUUAGAGGCCUCGGGGCGCUGUCUACUGGAUCGCAGCAUCCCAUGGGCUCAGACACAGCCGAGGCAGGUACGGAAGGCCGUCUGUGCGGCACGGAGCAGCUCGGCGCUCGCUGUGGCCCCACGGGGUGGGCACCCCCACACACACAAGUUCGCGCAUAGUCCCCAGUCACCUGGAAAGGAACCCAGCUCGCAGCAAGAUCACCUCAGAAACACGCUGGCACCUGCGUUCAGAGCAAACCCGCUGCAGGAGACCUGCCUCACCUGCUGCACGUUCGCCCCACACAAUGUCCGGUGGGAAAACACUACCGCGUCCCAGGACUCCCGUCCCCCAGGUGGUGUGCGCACACCUACCAGGGCCCUGCCCCGUUUAUUCAAAGCAUGA